AUUGAACGCUGGCGGCAGGCCUAACACAUGCAAGUCGAACGAAUGGCGGACGGGUGAGCAAUUUCUGGGAAACUGCCUGAUGGAGGGGGCUAACUACUGGAACCGGUAGCUAAUACCGCAUAACACCAGAUGUGCCCAUAGGGGAUUAGCUAGGUGCUGGGGUAACGGCGCACCAAGGCGACGAUCCCUAGCUGGUCUGAGAGGAUGACCAGCACCACUGUACCUGAGACACGGUCCAGACGCCUACGGGAGGCAGCUGUGGGGAAGAUUGCACAAUGGGCGCAAGCCUGAUGCAGCCAUGCCGCGUGUAUGAAGAAGGCCUUCGGUUUGUAAAGUACUUUCAGCGGGGAGGCGUUACCCGCAGAAGAAGCCCCGGCUAACUCCGUGCCAGCAGCCGCGGUAAUUC
rnacentral:rRNA from 1 species